rnacentral:tRNA from 1 species
GCUCCUAUAGCUCAGCUGGAUAGAGCAACGGAUUUCUAAUCCGUAGGUCAUAGGUUCGAAUCCUAUUGGGAGUA